GUGCUCACUUUGGCAGCACAUGUACUAAAAUUGGAACGAUACAGAGAAGAUUAACAUGGCCCCUGCGCAAGGAUGACACGCAAAAUGUUAGAAAGCCAUUGCUUUACA